rnacentral:rRNA from 1 species
UUAAAUUGAAGAGUUUGAUCAUGGCUCAGAUUGAACGCUGGCGGCAGGCCUAACACAUGCAAGUCGAACGGUAACAGGAAGCAGCUUGCUGCUUUGCUGACGAGUGGCGGACGGGUGAGUAAUGUCUGGGAAACUGCCCUGAUGGAGGGGGAUAACUACUGGAAACGGUAGCUAAUACCGCAUAACGUCGCAAGACCAAAGAGGGGGACCUUAGGGCCUCUUGCCAUCGGAUGUGCCCAGAUGGGAUUAGCUAGUAGGUGGGGUAACGGCUCACCUAGGCGACGAUCCCUAGCUGGUCUGAGAGGAUGACCAGCCACACUGGAACUGAGACACGGUCCAGACUCCUACGGGAGGCAGCAGUGGGGAAUAUUGCACAAUGGGCGCAAGCCUGAUGCAGCCAUGCCGCGUGUAUGAAGAAGGCCUUCGGGUUGUAAAGUACUUUCAGCGGGGAGGAAGGGAGUAAAGUUAAUACCUUUGCUCAUUGACGUUACCCGCAGAAGAAGCACCGGCUAACUCCGUGCCAGCAGCCGCGGUAAUACGGAGGGUGCAAGCGUUAAUCGGAAUUACUGGGCGUAAAGCGCACGCAGGCGGUUUGUUAAGUCAGAUGUGAAAUCCCCGGGCUCAACCUGGGAACUGCAUCUGAUACUGGCAAGCUUGAGUCUCGUAGAGGGGGGUAGAAUUCCAGGUGUAGCGGUGAAAUGCGUAGAGAUCUGGAGGAAUACCGGUGGCGAAGGCGGCCCCCUGGACGAAGACUGACGCUCAGGUGCGAAAGCGUGGGGAGCAAACAGGAUUAGAUACCCUGGUAGUCCACGCCGUAAACGAUGUCGACUUGGAGGUUGUGCCCUUGAGGCGUGGCUUCCGGAGCUAACGCGUUAAGUCGACCGCCUGGGGAGUACGGCCGCAAGGUUAAAACUCAAAUGAAUUGACGGGGGCCCGCACAAGCGGUGGAGCAUGUGGUUUAAUUCGAUGCAACGCGAAGAACCUUACCUGGUCUUGACAUCCACGGAAGUUUUCAGAGAUGAGAAUGUGCCUUCGGGAACCGUGAGACAGGUGCUGCAUGGCUGUCGUCAGCUCGUGUUGUGAAAUGUUGGGUUAAGUCCCGCAACGAGCGCAACCCUUAUCCUUUGUUGCCAGCGGUCCGGCCGGGAACUCAAAGGAGACUGCCAGUGAUAAACUGGAGGAAGGUGGGGAUGACGUCAAGUCAUCAUGGCCCUUACGACCAGGGCUACACACGUGCUACAAUGGCGCAUACAAAGAGAAGCGACCUCGCGAGAGCAAGCGGACCUCAUAAAGUGCGUCGUAGUCCGGAUUGGAGUCUGCAACUCGACUCCAUGAAGUCGGAAUCGCUAGUAAUCGUGGAUCAGAAUGCCACGGUGAAUACGUUCCCGGGCCUUGUACACACCGCCCGUCACACCAUGGGAGUGGGUUGCAAAAGAAGUAGGUAGCUUAACCUUCGGGAGGGCGCUUACCACUUUGUGAUUCAUGACUGGGGUGAAGUCGUAACAAGGUAACCGUAGGGGAACCUGCGGUUGGAUCACCUCCUUACCUUAAAGAAGC